rnacentral:misc_RNA from 1 species
UUUCCGUAGGUGAACCUGCGGAAGGAUCAUUAUUGUAUAACCGAGGUGCGAGGGCUGUCGCUGACCCGAAAGGUCGUGCACGCCCGAGUGCCCUCACACACAUCCAUUUCACCCCUAUGUGCACCACCGCGCGGGUCCCCCUUUGGCUUGUUCGGAGGGGGGCUUACGUUUUCACACAAACUUUGUAUGCAGUGUAGAAUGUAUUUUUUGUUUUUGCGAUCACGCAAUCAAUACAACUUUCAACAACGGAUCUCUUGGCUCUC